AAAAUUAUGAAUGUAGAAAGCAUAUGUUUGGGUUUUCAUGCUCACGUGUGAAAUGGACCGCCCUCAAACCUGGUUAUGCUGUCGGCACAUUACCUAUCUGAUG
ensembl:snoRNA